UUAUAAAAGUACAUAAAUUAAGCAAACGCAAGAUAAUAACUCAAAUAAGUCCUUAAAAACAAUUGGAGGUUUAAUUAAAUAGAAACGAAUAAAACUCUAUCCUUAAACAUAAAUUAAGAAGCGUAACUUUCAUAGAAAGAAAAAAGAAAAAAUCUGGAUCGCCUCGGAGUGAAGCCAUCAUCGGCGAAACCCAAAUCCAUGAUUCACAAACCCAACUCAUAUGCGAACAUCACAAAAAACAACAACCUGGAUAUCAUUCUAAGAC
rnacentral:lncRNA from 1 species